AGUCUUAACGAUGGAUGUCUUGGUUCCUACAGCGAUGAAGGCCGCAGCAAAAUGCGAUACGCAAUGAAAAUUGCAGUGACUGUGAAUCAUCAGAAUGCUGAAUGUAAACUACACCAAUUCCCUUCGGGGAAUAGUGGUACUCCUACAGAAAAUAAAAUAAUACUUUGCUCUCUAGGUUUCUUUUAAAUAUAAAAUAUGUUUUCAUAUUAUAUGUAUAAAAGAAAAGAGAAAUAGGAAUUUAUUCCAAACUAAAAAUUAAUUUUUAGUUAAAGUUUCUCGCUGAAUAAAAUUUAUUUUCAUUCAUUUUCUAGAGUAACAAAAAAAGAAUUCUUUAUUCUUUUUAACAAAGUGUUUGAUUUGAUGUUAGGAGGGCAAAUCCGCCGAAUUUAAGCAUAUAAUUAAGCGGAAGAAAAGAAAAUAACUAUGAUUCCUUUAGUAACGGCGAGUGAACAAGGACCAGCUCAAACGGUUAAUCCUUCGUUUGGUGCAAACCUUUCGACGGAAUUGUCGUUGAAUUAUUCCAUGAAUGCCUUUAAUUUGAGCAAAGUGAGCAGGAAUGCUUCCCCAUAGAGGGUGAAAGGCCCAUAGUUCUUUUUAAUUUAUUCAUUGGAAUUUUUCAUGCCGAGUCGUGUUCUUUGAGAUUGGAGCACUAAUACGUGUGAUACAUUUCACAUAAAGCUAAAUAUGUGUAGGAGACCGAUAGCAAACAAGUACCGUGAGGGAAAGAUGAAAUAGUACUCAGGAAUGAGCAAUUAAAUAGUACCUGAAAUCGUUAAGAUGGAACGGAUUAAGAGAGAAAACAAGUAAAGAGGGGAAUUUUUAAUUUUUUUUGUUAUAAUUCUCUUCUUUAUUAAAAGAAACAUCAGUGAUUAAUUUAAUUUCAAUAAAGCAAUCCCCUGAAAUUCAAAAUUUCUUUUAAUUUUGUUUUCACUUUCUCCCCGCACUAAUGUGGGGAAAACUGGCUUUAUUUCUUCAAUUAUUUUUUUUGCUGAGGAAUUUUAAAAUUAUUUGAAUUUUUCUUCUUAUAAUUUAAGUUGUUUCUAUAUAGUACUUUCUUAACCCACUCGUCUUGAAACACGGACCAAGGAGUCUAGCAAAUGUGCAAGUGUAUAUGAUUCUUUAAACAUUUCUCUUUUUAAUAUACGCAUAAUUAAUGUAAUAUGUUUCUUUAUUGUAGAUUUGUGGUGUUUAAUUUUUAUUAAAUCCCCACUUUGCAUACAAUACCGGUAAGCAAUUAUGCUUUAUUGAGUACGAGCAUAUUUGGUAGGACCCGAGAGGCUUUGAACUAAGCGUGAUGAGAUUGAAGUCAGACGAAAGUCUGAUGGAGGAUCGAGUUGAUACUGACGUGCAAAUCGUUCAUUUCAAUCACGUUUAGGGGCGAAAGACUAAUCGAAAAGCCUAUUAGCUGGUUAUUUUCGAAAGAUCUCUCAGGAUCGCUGGAGUUGAUUAAUAUAAUUUUACCAGGUAGAGAUAAUGAUUAGAGGAAUCAGGGAAAUCGUUUUCCUUGACCUAUUCUCAAACUCCCAAUAGGUAAAAAGGGCGAAAUAACUCAACUUGUAUUUCACUCAUAUUAAAUAAAAUAACUCCAAGUGGGCCAUUUUUGGUAAGCAGAACUGGCGAUGAGGGAUGCUCCUAACGCUUGGAUAAGGUGCCUAAAUAUUCGCUCAUGAGAUCCCAUAAAAGGUGUUGGUUCAUAAUGACAGUAGGACGGUGGUCAUGGAAGUCGAAAUUCGCUAAGGAGUGUGUAACAACUCACCUACCGAAUGAACUAGCCCUGAAAAUGGAUGGCGCUAAAGCGGAUUACCGAUACCAAGCCAUAAAAAGAACAGAAAAAAUUUAUUUUUUUUUUAGAAUCUUUUUAUGAGUAGAAAAUCGUGGGGUUUGUGUUGAAGCGAAAUACGUGAGUUUUCGUGGAACAUCUCCCUAGUGCAGAUCUUGGUGGAAGUAGCAACUAUUCAAAUGAGAACUUUGAAGACUGAAGUGGAGAAGGGUUUCUUGUCAACUGUGAUUGAACAAGAGUUAGCCGCUCCUAAGGGAUAGCUGAAAAGUGUUUAAAAGGGGUUCCUUCCCCGUCUCAAAAGGGAAACAGGUUGAUAUUCCUGUGCCAAUAGUAUUAUGAGUUUCUUAGAUGGUAACAUAUAUAUAAAUGAACUCCUUUACAUAGGCUUUACACUCGGGGUGCGUUUUCUUUGCACUUUACCUUUAUAACAAACCUUGGAAUCAAUUUACUUGGAGAAGAGGUUCGUUGAACUCAAUUCAAAAAAUUUCUUGAACGGGGUUUUCGGAUUCAGUUCAUUUUAUUUUUUGUUUUGUAGCAAUAGUAAUUCGUUUUUAUGAAUUAUCCGAAGUGGUAAGGACUAUCCUUGAAAAAAGGAGGGAACGGCUUUGUAAACUUGGUUUCUUCUGAUUCCAUUUUGCUUUGCUAUACUCUUAAUACUUGUAUGAGCGUACCAACAACCGCAUCAGGUCUCCAAGGUUAACAGCCUCUGGUUAAAUAGAAAAAAGUAGGUAAGGGAAGUCGGCAAAAUAGAUCCGUAACUUCGGGAAAAGGAUUGGCUCUGAGGACAUUAGAAAAGAGAAGAAAAAAAGAGGGUUCGAAAAUAAAAUUGCAGUCUUUAUUUGCUUUUCUUUCGAUUUGCUUGUAAUCUGCUUUUUCUUUUUCUUCUUUCUUUUUUUCUCCCCCUCUUUUCGCCUUCACUUUAUUGUAAUUUUAUUACUUUAAUUUGAUACCUAUAAUGUUAACUCAGAACUGAAACGGACAAGGGGAAUCCGACUGUUUAAUUAAAACAUAGCAUUGUGAAAAGCCACAACUGGUAUUAACACAAUGUGAUUUCUGCCCAGUGCUUUGAAUGUCAACUUGAUGAAAUUCAAUUAAGCGCAGGUAAACGGCGGGAGUAACUAUGACUCUCUUAAGGUAGCCAAAUGCCUCGUCAUCUAAUUAGUGACGCGCAUGAAUGGAUUAACGAGAUUCCCACUGUCCCUACUUGCUAUCUAGCGAAACCACAGCCAAGGGAACGGGCUUGGCAAAAUCAGCGGGGAAAGAAGACCUGUUGAGCUUUACUCUAGUCUGGCUUUGUGAAACGACUUAAGAGGUGUAGCAUAAGUGGGAGUAGAAACUGAAAUAUGUUUUUACGACAGUGAAAUACCACUACUUUAAAGUUGUUUACUUAUCCAUUUAUAGGGAAAUAUAUUAUGCUUUAUCCUUCGGGAA
rnacentral:rRNA from 1 species